rnacentral:rRNA from 1 species
CGGCAACAGCUCAAAUUUGAAAUCUGGCGCAAGCCCGAAUUGUAAUUUGGAGAGGAUGCCUUGGAGUUGUCCCGGUCUAAGUUCCUUGGAACAGGACGUCACAGAGGGUGAGAAUCCCGUACGUGGCCGGACGACCUCUCCGUGUAAGGCUCCUUCGAC